GUUCGGUCCCUAUCCGGCGCAAGCGUAGGAUAUCUGAGAGGAGCUGCCCUUAGUACGAGAGGACCGGGGUGGACGGACCGCUGGUGUAUCUGUUGGUUACCAAAACCAUGGCAGAGUAGCCAAGUCCGGCAGGGAUAAACGCUGAAGGCAUCUAAGCGUGAAGCCCCCCUCAAGAUGAGAUAUCCCAAUAAGUAAGACCCCUUAGAGAGUAUGAGGUAGAUAGGUUCGAGGUGGAAGUGCAGUAAUGUAUGUAGCUGACGAAUACUAAUCGGUCGAGGGCUUAUCCUG
rnacentral:rRNA from 1 species